CCAGACUCCUACGGGAGGCAGCAGUGGGGAAUAUUGCACAAUGGGCGGAAGCCUGAUGCAGCAACGCCGCGUGCGGGAUGACGGCCUUCGGGUUGUAAACCGCUUUCGCCUGUGACGAAGCGUGAGUGACGGUAAUGGGUAAAGAAGCACCGGCUAACUACGUGCCAGCAGCCGCGGUGAUACGUAGGGUGCGAGCGUUGUCCGGAUUUAUUGGGCGUAAAGGGCUCGUAGGUGGUUGAUCGCGUCGGAAGUGUAAUCUUGGGGCUUAACCCUGAGCGUGCUUUCGAUACGGGUUGACUUGAGGAAGGUAGGGGAGAAUGGAAUUCCUGGUGGAGCGGUGGAAUGCGCAGAUAUCAGGAGGAACACCAGUGGCGAAGGCGGUUCUCUGGGCCUUUCCUGACGCUGAGGAGCGAAAGCGUGGGGAGCGAACAGGCUUAGAUACCCUGGUAGUCCACGCUGUAAACGGUGGGUACUAGGUGUGGGGUCCAUUCCACGGGUUCCGUGCCGUAGCUAACGCUUUAAGUACCCCGCCUGGGGAGUACGGCCGCAAGGCUAAAACUCAAAGGAAUUGACGGGGGCCCGCACAAGAAGGGCGA
rnacentral:rRNA from 1 species